rnacentral:lncRNA from 1 species
AGGCUCGCUGCUGCCUCUAAUGCAUCAGCCAGCCCCCUGGGCCAAUGCGCGGUGGGAGACCAGGCGACAGCUUGAAAGCAGUGGAGAAAUACUGGACACCCCUCGGAGGGCGGAAAGAUUCUUCUGCUCAGGCUGGCCUGCAACUCUUGGGCUCAGUCACCCUGACUGACCUCCCACCUAGCUAGGACAACAGGCCCAUGCCUCAAACACAAUGUACCAUCCAACUGUUGUAAGAUCAUGCCAAUUCUUUGAGACUUUGCUCUGUAGCCCCAACUAGUCCUGAAUUCACUGCAGUCUCUUGCUUCGGCCUCUGGGUUGUGUAAUUGCACAUUCAGAUACUUCUGCUGGGCUAACAAAUUCCUAACAAGAAACUGGAAUACUAACUACUAA